AGCGGCUGCAGGCUGCUAAGCGGCUCCGGGAGCUGAUUUGGAUAGAGGCUGUUGAGCAGGGCUGAAGUUGGCUAAUGCCGUGUGCUGUUGGCUUUCAACAAUUCCGAUAGAGAAACUGAAGCACAGAGAGGUUAUGCAGCUUUCCCAGGUUCAUGUAGCUGGUAAGAACAGAGUCCAUGUUCUUAUCACUCAAGAUGUUCUGUUGGGGACGGCAUGCCAUGGUCUUAAGGAUCGCCCCCUUCUCAGAUGAUCUGCUGCUCACCUCAGAUACCUACAGAGACUCUGCUGGUGCCUGUCAAAGGUGCUGUCACCUCCCACUCCCACAAAAAGUGCCGCUGCUCUCUCUCAUCUGCUGAAGCUCUAAUACCUCAAGGAAUGUCAGAAUAUGGGACAGAAGGAGCCAGGACAUCCACCUUGCACUGUUCUGGGAGGAAGAAAUACAUUUUCUGGCCUGCGCAGGGUGGCUCACGCCUGUAAUCCCAGGACUUUGGGAGGCUGAGGUGGGCAGAUUGCCUGAGCUCAGGAGUUUGUGACCAGCCUUGGCAACACAAGGAAACCCCAUCUCUACUAAAAUACAAAAAAUUAGCCAAGUGUGGCAGCGCGAGCCUGUAAUCCCAGCUACUUGGGAGGCUGAGGCAGGAGAAUUGCUUGAACCCAGGAGGCAGAGGUUGCAGUGAGCUGAGAUCAUGCCACUGCACUUCAGCCUGGGCGACAGAGUAAGAAUCUGUCUCAAAAAAAAAAAAAGAAGAAAUACAUUUUCUGUAUACUUAAAAAUAAUUAAAAUGAGGAGAUCGAGACCAUCCCGGCUAAAACGGUGAAACCCCGUCUCUACUAAAAAUACAAAAAAUUAGCCGG
rnacentral:lncRNA from 10 species